rnacentral:rRNA from 1 species
CCGCCGGCGACCGGCGCACGGGUGAGUAACACGUAUGCAACCUGGCCGUGACAGAUGGAUAACCGGGAGAAAUCCCGCCUAAUACAACAUAAUGCCGGGAGGGGACAUCCCCUGCCGGGCCAAAGGGGGCGACCCCGGUCACGGAUGGGCAUGCGGCGCAUUAGGUAGUUGGUGGGGCAACGGCCCACCAAGCCGACGAUGCGUAGGGGUUCUGAGAGGAAGGUCCCCCACAUUGGAACUGAGACACGGUCCAAACUCCUACGGGAGGCAGCAG